rnacentral:lncRNA from 1 species
UUAUUGAUGCCUUAUAGAUAUAAAAUGGAUGAAUAUUGAAACCCAUUCCUUCAUCUCUGACACUUGACAACCUCUAAAGCACUCAAGACACAAACUUAAAAGUGUAAAGCAAAAGAUUUUUCCUACUUUGUAGAAGGCAAAGAGAAUCAGUCAUCUCUGUAAUCCUCAAGUGCCAAGGUCAUGUAAUGACAAAAAAGAAACACCAGACAUUAGAAGAG